UUGGAGGCGCAAUGUCUGGUGCCACGCAGCCGCGGUAAUUCCAGCUCCAAUAGCGUAUAUUAAAGUUGUUGCAGUUAAAAAGCUCGUAGUUGAAUUUCGGGACCAAUUUGUUGGUCGUGCCUCGGUACGUACUGGUAUUAUUGGUUUCUCCCUUCUGAAGAACCUUGAUGUCAUUAAUUUGGUGUUCUUGGGGAAUCAGGACUGGUACUUUGAAAAAAUUAAAGUGGUUAA
rnacentral:rRNA from 1 species